rnacentral:siRNA from 1 species
CUCGCUCAGUCUCGUUCAAUCUA